CCAAGUUUGAUACACACUGUUCCAUCCAAGCUGGUUGGUGCCAAAGAGGAAGAGGGCAGCCGUGGGCCUUUCCUUAUAUGAGCGAUUGCUUUGUCCUGAUUGCUGACCCAGUUAGUCUUGUCUUGAGUGUUUAAUUCCUUCAAGUGAACCCUCUUAGUGUCUACCAUCAGAAAGUAUGAGCCUGCAAAGGUUGAGAACCACUGAAUAAUUCUGUAUCUUGGUGAGGAUGCUUUUCAAGCACAGACUAAGGCAACUGGGGAAAUACCAGGAAGCUCCUUUACUCUCCUUUUCCUGAUUCCUAUUCCUGUGACCGAAGGCAUGACUGGAAAAGAAUGCAACCAUGCCUUGAGAGCUGGAAGAAAGGGGCAGCCUUGAAGACAAUACUCUGUGGACAGAUCCCUGAGCUUUCCUGCAGUUGUGUAGGAAGAGGGCAUCAGUGGCUUCACUUGGUUUAACAGUCACAGCCUUAGACAAGAAACAAAUGUAAAAAUACGGAAGACAGGCACACGUAGACCAAGAGAAGGAGAGAGAAACAGCCCCUUGCUUCACUUGAUCCACAUCUGGUGUUAGAAGGCUUCAGACAACAAAGACACAAUUCUCAAUCUAGGUUCUUGAUGCAUGCCUUUUAAGACUAGUUAAAGCCCAACAGUUUACCCUGGUUUUGCAUUUCUGCUUCUUAGUAUGGUAAAGGCAUCUGCCCAUGUCAGUAGUUCCGGAGGAUGAUUUCUUCAAGUUCUGUAAUUGUAUUGCCGUGAGAGAUGAAGAAGGAACAUACAUCAAAGAUGUCUGUGAAGGGCACAUGUGGUGAUAAAGCAAAAUAAAAUUGUCUACUGUUCACGUA
ensembl:lncRNA